rnacentral:SRP_RNA from 1 species
GCUAGGUGUAGUGUGUACCUGUAGUUCCAGCUACUCGGGAGGCUGAGGCAGGAGGAUGGCUUGAGCCCAGGAGUUCCGGGCUGUAGUGCACUAUGCCAAUCAGGUGUUUGUACUGAGUUCAGCAUCAAUAUGGUGACCUCCCGGGAGCGAGAGACCACCAUGUUGCCUAAGGCAGGGUAAACCAGCCCAGGUCGUUAAUGGAGCAGGUCAAAACUCCAGUGCUAAUCAGUAAUAGGACUGUGCCUGUGAAUAGCUACUGCACUCCAGCCUGGUCAACAUAGGGAGACGCCAUCUUU